rnacentral:rRNA from 1 species
GACAGAGGUGCCGAGCGUUAGGCGGAAUCACUGGGCUUAAAGCGUGUGUAGGCGGACCGUUAAGUACCUUGUGAAAUCCCCCGGCCCAACCGGGGAACUGCGUCCAGUACUGCGUUGCUUGAGGAUCCAAGGGGUGCAUGGAAUUCCCGGUGGAGCGGUGAAAUGCGUUGAUAUCGGGAGGAACUCCGGCGGCGAAAGCGGUGCACUGGUGGAUUACUGACGCUGAGGUGCGAAAGCCAGGGGAGCAAAGCGGG